UUGUAAUGUAAUGCCUACAAUGUUAAUGCACCAGAUCCCAUUAGAACUCUAGAGUUAAUUGCGCUUGGGAUAGAGUAGUACUAGGAUGGGUGACUUCCUGGGAAGUAUUGUUGUUUUACAUG
rnacentral:rRNA from 1 species